rnacentral:lncRNA from 1 species
UGGUGCUUUUUUCUCCUUUCAGGGUUAACUGCUCAGCCUAUUCCAUCUUGACUUACAGGUCUUUUAUUGCAAUUUAAUAGUGCUUCUUAAUCUUUUCCAGCUGCAUGUAAUGAUCCUUCUCCUGACAGAUCUUUUGCCACACAGAAAGCCUACGAAGAAGGUAUGAAACAGAUUGGCAGCACAGCUAUUUAUACAGAUCCUUGAAAAGUGGGAUAUGUAGAUCUGCUAUCUGAAUGUUACCUUCUGAGAAAUUUUGCCAUAUCUUUAAUUUUUCUGUGUAUUACAGGCUGCCUUUCUAAAGACUGGAUCCACAGUUCACUGAAAUCAAUGGAAGUGAUCCCAGCUGACUUGGAAAACUCUAGAUUGGACCAUAAACCAGGUGAUGCUUCCCUUUGACUCUGAGGAUGCUCCAGGAGCUCUGCCAUCUGCAGCUGUGUGCUUCCUGUGUGGGGUAGAGCCUGUGGCCUGGAUCUGCUGGGCUUCCUCCUCCAGCUCAAGGAUCAGCUUCAGCAGCCCAGCUUCCCACUUGCGGUUCUAUUAGAUCUGAGAAGGGGCCAAGUGGGUGUUGUCAGCUGGGAUCUGGCAGCCCUGGAGUCUCGGUAAGGCCCUCAGGGAUGCUUUAUAAGAAAGGCUUCUGGAAGCUUUUUAUUUAGCUUUAAUGGUCUCUUUAUUUGGGACAAAUCCCAUCUUUGGUAUUUAUCCAUUAGGAGGUCAGUGGCUGAUAUCUUCCAGAAAGAUUAACCAUCUCUAGGCCUCCGUGCUAAAGCUCAGAGUAAUUCUUUGGACUGCAGGCAUUGUAUAUUUCCUUGCAAAACAGUAUAAAAUGCACCUAACAGUCCUGCCUCCUCUUUUUACUGUAUGCUUCUGAAUUAGCAACUUUCUAAUGAAUUUCUGAUCCCCUUCCUCUCCAACUCUAUAGGAAUGACAAAGCUCACAGUGAAUUUAAUGGACCCUUGGUGCUUUACCCCAUCCAAGGUCUGCAGUGUGCAGAGAAGGUUGGGUAAGGUCUGCAGGAUCUGACCCACUUAUGAGCUCAGAGAAGCUGCUGAAGAAGCUUUUUCUUUGGAGGGUCCCAG